CCCUUAGAUGUUCUGGGCCGCACGCGUGCUACACUGAUGCAUUCAACGAGCCUAAAACCUGGUCUGAUAGGGCUGGGUAAUCUUUUGAAAGUGCAUCGUGAUUGGGAUAGAUGAUUGCAAUUCUUCAUCUUCAACGAGGAAUGCCUAGUAAACGCAAGUCAUCAGCUUGCAUUGAUUACGUCCCUGCCCUUUGUACACACCGCCCGUCGCUCCUACCGAUUGAAUGUUCCGGUGAGCUCUUCGGACUGCGCGGUCUGCAGUUUCUGCGUUCCGUGCGGAAAGUUGCGCAAACCUUAACAUUUAGAGGAAGGAGAAGUCGUAACA
rnacentral:rRNA from 1 species